rnacentral:rRNA from 1 species
UAUUUUUUAAUUAUGUAUUUAUGUUAAAUAUGCUAGUCCUUUCAUGAUUAUGUGAUAGGUGGUGCAUGGCCGUUCUUAGUUCGUGGAGUGAUCUGUCUGCUUAAUUGCGUUUCACUAAGGGCUUAUAAAUUUACGUGUGUUGUGAGUACUUUGACCCCUACGUUGAAAUAUUACGUAGUGCGCGUCUUAGUUUGCUUCACACACACAAUUAAGUCCUGAAAGCAACGAACGUGACCGCAACCUCUUGUUGCCUUUAAUACACAAAAACUUUAGUCAUAUAUUAUAUUUUUAAUAUAUUUAUGUAUUAUUGUUUAAAAAAAGGCUUUUAAACUAGAGGGACCGCUGUAAUCUUUUUAAACCAGAGGAAGGUUGCGGCAAUAACAGGUCUGUGAUGCCCUUAGAUGUUCCGGGCUGCACACGUGCUACAAUGAUUAUUGCAGUGAGCAUCUCAUUUUUUACACAUCGCAUGCGCGAGUCCAAUUAUUGGCAUUCCUUUAGUGUUUGCACUUUAAUUGUGUUUACUUUGCGCGCGAUAAAGCCUGCUUCGAAAGUAAGUGGGUAAUCAAUUAGAAGUAAUGAUUUCCCAAUUUAUAGCACACAUAUAUACGGCGUCUUUACCCGGAAUAAGCUUGUCUUAUUUUUUGUGUGUAUUGAUGUUUUUUCCGUAUGUGCAAUUGUCAAUUCAUGGUGGGGACAGACCAUUGUUAAUUGUUGGUCUCGGUCUUAACUAGGAAUGCCUUGUACGGGUCUUUGGUUCAACAAACCACCCGGAAUACGUCCCUGCCCUUUGUACACACCGCCCGUCGCUCUUACCGAUGGAC